rnacentral:lncRNA from 1 species
UCACCAAUUCUUCGGGAUAAGGACACUCCGCUACGCAUGAUCGGCAUUGUCCGCUAUAGAGCCACCUACAUUCAUUUUAAAAUCUAGCGCCCCCGGCAAAAGGGAUGUUAGUACCAUGGAAUAGUACUAGUAUGUAUAACUAAACACCAUCUAAUUAGAAAGAACUUUCAUGUAAGAAAUAGGAAAUCACAAGUAUAACUCAAAAGCUUUAAACUAUCACGACACUAUCAAAUGAGGAAAUCAUACAACUUCCACACCAUUUUCCGUAGUUUUUAGUGGAGCAUUUCAUAUUAUUCAUCAUUUCUCACAAUACCACUGCUAUCUUGAGUGGAGUCCGAUCUCGACCCGAUCAGCUAGGUUGCCUUAUUUGAGGCAUACACUUCAAUCACAAUCUCAUUUUCCUUUUUUCUAGAAUUAAUUCACAAUACCACCGCUAUCUUGAGUAAAUUCUAAUCUCGGCUCGAUCGGCGAUGCCGCCUUGCCAAGGCAUUGUUCUCUCAUUAAUCAUUUUGUUACACAAAUAAAGUUCCCUAGGCACUUGGGGCCACAACUUAUCACAUCAUUCUUGGCACUAGGUCGCAUUUUACAUUAUUCAUGAUUUCAAUAUUAGCUUUACUAUUUAGGACAGUAUGGGCACACAAGAGCAACUUACAUUGUAAUCAUGGACAAGAAUUCACAAAGAUGGCACAACAUAUUCAGCUUCAAUAUCGAUUUAAGGUCUAAAUAUCUCAAUACAUAAUUCAUACCUUUUUCCCUUUCAAAGUGUAAAGAUAGCACGUUGAUCAUGUUGAAACACAUAUUUCACACAUAUAAGGUUAUGACACCAACUCAUGUUGGAUAACAAGCAAGGCAACAAUUCAACUUUAAUCUUACCAUGUUCACACAAUCACUGGUGAAGCUCAAUUUCUAAAAGACGAGGUCUUAGCCAUACAUACCUCAAUAUAGCUUUCCUUAAUCCUUACAAAAUUUUAAAACUCUUAGCACUUUGAUCUAUUGUGUAAGAAUUACAAAUUGAAUUGAGAAUUAGAGACGAGAUUGAGAUUCUAGCUUGUUUGAGCAUAUUAUCAAACACCAAAAGGUGCAUUGUGAUCUUAGAUCCUUUUUUGAGAGAAAUUUCUACCACUUUAUAUCCCAAUUGCUUUAUUUUUAAUACACAUCCUCCAUAUGUCCCACUAUCUCCUAUGCAUGCAAAACUAUUAGCCUUAUACCCAUGUACCCAUUAGCUAAUUACACGUUUUAACAGAAAUUUUAAAAUUAUUGAGGAUGGUAUAGUUCUAACCUCUUAGGUUGAAGACAUAGUAGCUACAAUUGACAAUCUUCAAGGAUUUGGGGAGAUGAUUUAGAGAAGACUUGAUGGAUAUUCCUCAUCCUCACUCUAGAACUCCCUCCCUCCCUCCAUCUCUCUCUCUCUCUUUAUCUAUCUCUCUCUCUAGGUCGUGAAAAAUAACAAAAAAUGGUCUGUUGGUGUGUUUUUAAUGGGAUGGGGUCGGACUUUAAAAAUUAGAAAACAUGAGCUCCGAGUCGGAUCUGCAAUCGCAAAGUUGACAUGCGGCCCGUAUAAUGGACCGUGAAAAUGCUCCCAAAACCUGAACACACUGUCUGGAUAUGCAGCAGAAAUGCAUUCCUCAUACCCGUUCUGCGGUCACAUAAUGCACCGUAGAACUGCUCAAUGGAAUUGUGCGACAAAUAUGCGGUCCACAUAUCCGCUAUGCAUAUUUGACCGCGUAUUUGACCAACACACUGACUCACUUUGUGGUGACUAUGCAGUACGCAUACCUGAUAUGCGACCGCAUUCUCGAUCGCAAAAUUGCACUUUUCUGGAGAAGAUUAAUUCUUGACUUCUUAAUGUAGUGAUCAACUCAAACGGUCCAAAUCGCGGCUUGCAAGCUUGCCGUAAAUAAAUUUUAUGAAUUUUUAACACCUAACCCUAACUUGGCACUACGAGACUCAGGUUUUGAGUGAAAAUUUUUACGGGGCCUCAUAUCCUCCCCCACUUAAGAUCAUUCAUCCUAGAAUGAGGAUAAAGGCUCACUUACUAGGAAUGAUUAUGAAACCUCAGCUUUUCACAAAAUGAAACAUAUCCACAGCCCUAAAUUUUGUUAACUCUCUAAAUUUCCAGAAAUUUCGCUAGAGUUUCCUUUUUAUUUAAGUCUAUCCACCUGUCAAAGAGCCCCGGAAACAUAUCUUAACUUUAUAAACAUAUUUCAUGGAUAUAAUAUAACUUUUACAACUCUAAAACCUGACCCCAACUUGGAACUACGAGACUCGAGCUUUGUGUGUAAAUUCUCACGGGGCCUCACAUUAUGCUGCAAGGAGAGUUCGUGAUAGUGGAUUUCAUGGAAAGUAAAAAGGUUCUUCAUAGAGUUUCUCCUAUUAAAGCUGUGAUAAGGUUUGGAAAGAAUAGUAGAUUGAGCCUCGAGUAUAUUAGUCCAUUUGGGGUUUUAAAUAGAGUUGAUGAGGUGGCUUGUAGUCUUGCUUUUGCAUACAGCUUGUCGAGAAUUCAUCUGGUAUUCUAUAUUUCUAUGCUUUAAAAGUAUUAUGAGGCAAGUCACAUAUGUUAGAUAUCAGUACAAUGUAAUUGGAUGAGAAUCUGGAUUAUGAGGAAUAGUUUAUGACUGUUUUGGAUAGGCGGGUUCAAAAUUAGCUUAGAUCAAAAGGGAUUGCAUCAGUGGAAAGGUCAACCGAUCGAGGAAGUGACUUUGGAGAUUGAGCAUGAUAUGUGAAAAUAUUUCUUCAUAUUUUUGGCAUUUUAGGUAUAAUUCUAAACCCGUUCGAGGAUGAAAGUUUAUUUAAAAGGGGUAGAAUAUAACAACACGGCCGGUUAUUUUGUGUAUUAGAGCCUCGCUCCUCUAUUUGAUGAUUCCCAUUGUUUUUAUAUUUUAUGAAAUAUAGGGAUGGUUGUCUUGGUUUCUAGAAGGUAGGAGUGUAUUGGAACAUUUAGUUCUAUUUUCAGAAGCUUACGUUAUAAUAGUUGACCAAGUUUUGACUUUUGAGUAAUCAGAUUAGUAAUUUGAUGGUUCCAAUAGGUUUAUAUGGUGAUUUUGUACUUGAGAAUAUGUUAGGAUUUAAAUUUUGAGAUUCCUAGAAGAUUUUGAUUUUAUUUUUUGAAAAGUUGGUUGAAAGGUUGAGUUUGACUGGGAGUUAAUUUUAUUGGACUCCAGUUAUGGUUUUGUUACCUUAGAUUUGUCCUAAUGAUUUAAUGGAACUUGUGAGAAAAGUUUGAUUGUAAUAUGAAUUGUCUAAGUGUGAUUCAGAUGCUUUCAACAAAGUUGGGAUAUUUGAAAGUUAAGAGAUAGAUUUGAUAUUGAAUUCUUGAUUUGGUUAUUGUGUUUUAUGUUUUGAGCGUUGAGAUAAGUUCAGAUUAGGUAUAAGGUCUUCUUGGUAUGAUUGAAUAGGGUUCAAGGGGAGGGGGAUCGAAUGUGAUUCAGAGUAGUUUCAGAUCAUUUUCUUAUGUUUUGAAGUUGUUGGUGUGCUAGUGCAGGGUAGUGCUUCAUGAUCGUGGAGUUGAGUCUCGCAAUCAUGGACAAGGGGGUCCAGCGUGCGAGUUCUUAUGCAUUGUUUUAUUCAUGCAGGUGGUCAUGAUCGUGGAGAGAUGUGGAGUUGGGCUUUAUGAUCGUAUGAAUUGACCGCGAUCACGAAAGGAACAGUCUGGCUGGGAGUUUUGAUCGAUGCAUUCGCAAAGAGGUGUACUGGUUGUCUUUCAUGAUCGUGGGGCUUCAGUUGCGAUCCCAUAUGUGUUAUAUUCAAGCUGCGAAUUUUGCGCUUCACAAUCGCAAAGAGUAUCCUUUGACAUAUUAUUUUAAUAUGUGAAUUUCAGGAUAUUUUUUGUUCUUAAUAUUUUGAACCCUAGACUUGGAUUUUAAGGAGAUUUUUCAUACAAUGAAAGAGAGUAAGUAAUUUCUUCUCAUUUGUGACUAUAUUUCAAGAAUCUACGGAGGUUUCUAACUCUUAAAUAUGGUAUAAAGUAUAGAAAUUGAGAUUUUUGGUACUAACUUAAGAGAAUGACUUUGGAGGUUUGAUUACGAAAUUUUUAUCCCGAUUUGGAAUUUAAUCAUAUAUUUAGAGCUAUAAUUAAUUUUGCAUUUAUGGCUCGGGGCCCGAGAUUAACUUUUGUUGAGUUUUUUAUUUUGGUUAAGGAUUGGUUCAUUAUUUAUGGAAUCAAUUCCUGAAGCUUGUAUUGACUCAUUUAAGUACUAUUUGACUAUAUUCAAGUUGUCUGGAUUUAAAUUUAAAAGGAAAAAAGCAAUUUUGGAAGGUUGAAGGUAUUACUAGAUAGAGUUAAGUCUCCUAUCUAUCCUUGUAAGAGGGAAUUCUCUCUAUAAGUAAUCUACUUUCUGGUUGUUACUAGAUUUGUGAGCUAUAUAUAUAUANNNNNNNNNNNNNNNNNNNNNNNNNNNNNNNNNNNNNNNNNNNNNNNNNNNNNNNNNNNNNNNNNNNNNNNNNNNNNNNNNNNNNNNNNNNNNNNNNNNNNNNNNNNNNNNNNNNNNNNNNNNNNNNNNNNNNNNNNNNNNNNNNNNNNNNNNNNNNNNNNNNNNNNNNNNNNNNNNNNNNNNNNNNNNNNNNNNNNNNNNNNNNNNNNNNNNNNNNNNNNNNNNNNNNNNNNNNNNNNNNNNNNNNNNNNNNNNNNNNNNNNNNNNNNNNNNNNNNNNNNNNNNNNNNNNNNNNNNNNNNNNNNNNNNNNNNNNNNNNNNNNNNNNNNNNNNNNNNNNNNNNNNNNNNNNNNNNNNNNNNNNNNNNNNNNNNNNNNNNNNNNNNNNNNNNNNNNNNNNNNNNNNNNNNNNNNNNNNNNNNNNNNNNNNNNNNNNNUGUGAGAUAUAUAUAUAUAUAUAUAUAUAUAUAUAUAUAUAUAUAUAUAUAUAUAUAUAUAUAUGCAAGGGUGACGAGUGUAUAUGCAUAGCUAGGUUAUGACCAUAUCCGAUAGAGUUUGGCCUAUGAUUAUCCCUUGUUUGGACUAUGUGAAUUUACUAUCCAAAUUUCAUUAAUUCUAUGAUUACGUGAUGUCUCAUAAUUAUAAUUUAUAAGCAUGCUUAACGUUAUGACUUGUCAAAUUUCCAUAAAGUACUAUUUUGCUAUGUUGAGCUUUCUUAUUAAGUCAUAUUCAUACACCUUGUCUUAUUUGACUCAUGAUUUGGUAGUUAAAUAUCUUAAUUCACUCUUCGUAAAUACAAAGUGUAACGACCCAACCGGUCAUUUUGAGCUCUAGCGCAUCGUUCGGUAGUUUGAGGCCAUGAGCAGCUUCACUUCAGGUAGUAUGACUUGUACGCGUUAUCGGAAUUGAAUUUCGGAAGGUUCAGAGUUGAUUUGAAAAGAGAAUUCUCAUUUCGGAAACUUUAAGUUGGAAGAAUUUAUUAAUAUUCAAUUUUUUAGUAAACGACUUUAGAAUCGGGAUUUAAAGGUAUCGGCAGGUUUUUAUGAUGAUUUUGGACAUGGGCGUAUGUCCGUAUUGAGUUUUGGACGACCCAGGAGCGUUUCGGCACCUAUUGUGAAAGUUAGUAUUUUUGGAAGAAUUUUAUAAAUCCCGGUUGAAGUGAAUUUCAAUUAUAUCAAUGUCCAUUGGGACUCUAAAUUUGGGAAUAGCUCUGUAGGGUGACUCUAGUAUUAAGAGCGCGAUCAGAAGUGGAUUUGGAGAUCUGUAGGUCAUUUUGCAGUCAUUUGGCUAAAGUUAGAAAUUUGAAGGUUUUUGAAAAGUUUGAAUGGAAGUGGGAUUUUUAUACUAUGGUCGGAUUCUGAUUCCGGAAGUUGGAUUAGGUCCGCAAUAUCGAAUGUGACUUGUGUGCAAAUUUUGAGGUCAAUCGGACAUUAUUUGAGAGGUUUUCGUCAUCGAAUGUAGAAGUUUGAAGUUCUAAAUUUUAUAAAGCUCGAAUUAGGGUGUGAUUCAUGAUUUUGACGUUAUUUGAUAUGAUAUGAGGCCUCGGUCAGGUCUUCGUUAUGUUGUGGGUCUAAUUGGUAUGGUUGGUCGGGGUCGCGGGGGCCUCGAGUGGAUUCCAGAUGGUUAACGGAUCAAAUUUGGAAUUUGAAAAAUAAAUAAAGCAUCUGCCUUUGGGUGUAACCACACCUGCUAGGUUUGGGCCGCAGAAGCAGCCAUGAGGGUCGCAGAUGCUAUUGGGCUGGAAGUGCAGAGACUGUAGAUGCGGUCAUCUCACUGCAGAAGCGAGACCGCACCUGUGGAAGGAGAAGCGCAUAAGCGGAAGGGGCAGCUUGUGGAAGACCACAAAAGCAGUAGCUAGGGCCACACUUGCGGAACCGCAGAAGAGAUCAAAUGACCGCAGGUGUGAAAGUUGGGGCUGGCAGUGUGUCUCUUUAAAACAAGGGGUUUAGCUCAUUUCAACCUCAUUUCCUCCGUGGGAGCUGAUUUUUGAGCAACUUGGGAGUGCCAUUUUAACCACCAAACAUGAGGUAAAAGGUUUAUACUAAUUUGAGUUAAAUACAUCGAUUAUGUAUAUGUUUUAACAUCGAAAUUAGUAGAAAUUUGGAAUUUUGAGGAAAACCUAGAAAUUGGUAUUCUUGGGUUUUGACCACGAUUUUGGACGUAAAAUCAUGAGUAAAUUAUAUAUUUGAGUUCGUGGGGUUAUGGGUAAAGUUCAUCUUUGAAAAAUUUCAGAAUCCAGGAAUGUGGGCCCGAGGGUGAUUCUUAUUGACUUUACGAUUGGGGUUAGAAAUUGUUAUGAAUUGGAUUAUGAUGAGUUUUCGAGCGUAUAUUAAUGGCUUUGCAUAAUUAUUGGCUAGCUUUUGAGCGUUAUGCAUUGGUUUGAGUUGUCGGAAGGGAUUGGAAGCCGGUUAUGAAAUUCUAAGUGAGGUAAGUCUCCUUUCUAACCUUGUAAGAGGGAAUUAACCCCAUAGGUGAAUAAUUAAAUAUGUGCUUUUAUUUUUGGGGGAUACGUACACACGAGGUGACGAUCUUCCGUGCGUAGCUACUGCCACCUUCUUUUUCACUACACCUGCAAGGGCAUAAAGGAGCUUUUCCAAUUAAAGGACAAUCGGAAUGGAAUUUAUUAUUAAUAUUUGGAGUCUCCACUUGGGAGAUUAAUGGUGUCCCAAGUCACCGGUUGAAUCCCUAACCGAGGAAAAAUAUGACUCUGUUAACAGUCCGCAAAUAAGAAAUCUGAGUAAGGAAUUCUGUUAACCCGGUAGAAGGUGUCAGGCAUUCCCUAGUUCCAUGGUUCUAGCACCGUCGCUCAUCUAUCAUGAUUAGUUUAUUUAACUGAUUUUAUACUUGAUGAACCUAUGUGCCGAUUUUUACUUUUAACCACUUUUAUUUCAUUUUUAAGAAAGUUGAACGUCGUUUAAAAUGUGUCUUUGGAUCGCGCCACAUGAAAUGCACCCGCAAUCCUAAACACACUUUAUCCAAUAUUUUGGAAUUUGAUUUGGGUCUCAUGAAAUGCAAAGCCGAAUUUAGGAAGAUAAUUUUAUUAAAAUCAUGGUUAAAGAGGCUAACGCGUUAUUGUCUUUGGGGAAGGCCGUGAAAAUCGCUAAACGACUCAUCCCAAAUUCUAAGUAUUUUAACACAAUAUUCAUUGAGGGCCCAACAAUUUAUGUGUUUUGUUUUGCGAGGCUCGUCUCAUUUUAUUAAUUAAAGAACUAACCUAAAGAAACUAUGAUUUUCUAUAUUUUUUGUUUCUAAGAAUAAAGAAAAAGAUGCCCUAAAUAAUUGGAGUUACUCAAACAAAACAUAUUAAUAAGGACCCUUUAGCAAUUCUGGGCUCAAGUAAUAGGCCCAAUCCCUGAUGAAUUGAAACCACCCAGCGAUUUGGGCCUUGAGAACAUAUUGCCCAGCCUGAGUUCCCAUUGCAUAACGUGAGCCCAACCUUGUGCUCAGAUUGGCCCGUUAGAAAAAAUCAGGCGAGAUCAAUAGCAGUAUUGACAUAUUCAUGUUAUAAUUUAGGGUCUAAGUUUAGGUGAACACACAUGUGAUGCACUUAACAUGCUGAGUUUGAAAUUCUACACUAAUUCUAUGCUAAUAACGUUCAGCCCAGUUUUGCUUCAGUUCCUGGCUAAUAAUACUUCCUAACUGAUGUUGUAAUUGACAUUUACUAAUUAUUCACAAUUAUUCAAAUAUCCAAUUAUCAACUAAAGAUGGAAGUCCAGAAUCAAUUUCCAAACUUAUGUCUUUUAACAUAGUUAAUCAACAAACUAUUCUAGGCUAAUUAGUGAUAAGCAAAUCCAACAGUCAAAUUACACGUCUAGCUCUAAACUAACUCACAAUUACAAUUACUAAAUACAAACAAUGUGACUCCAGGAUUACACUGCCAAUUAUUAAGAUGAGUGAGGACUGUGAAUCACAAUCGCUUUAUGCUUUGACUAACUUCUGAUUUUCAAAACUUAACUACACCAAAUGAAAUUAAACUACAACAUGUUUAACAAAUGAUCAAAUUUCCCAAACAGUCCAUGAGUUUGACAGUCCAAACAAAUCUAAAUCAUUGUAAAACAAUUUUAAUUAUAGUCCAAACUACUACAAUCAACUAUGGUAAAACACGGCAAUAACUUAAGCUUCCAAUGAAGUUAUACUUCUAUUUCACUUAAUUCCAACUGGAGAGCUACAUGAUUUGAGAUUAAGGACAUGUACCUAAUAUUUAAACCACAAAACAAAGAAGAAUUGGAAGUCAGCUGAAGCAACGCACGUGUAGCAGUAGCAGUAAGUAAUUUUCAGCAGUACAGAAUAACAAACAGCCCAAAAAAUAAAUCCAGAAAUUCUAGGAAGGUUCAGAACUCAAAUAAAACCAGCUGAUUAAACCAAAACACUUGAAAUGCACUUAGUUAUACUAGAAAGGCAUUAACACACUUUCACAUAACCAAAUCUCAAUAAAACACAAUCUAAUUAGACCCAAAAAUUGCUCGAAAUCACCUAGCAACCAUUCUAAACAUCAGCAAUCAAAGAGUGAACUAGAGGAUGUGAACUAAUAAUUAAAACAUCAAUAUCAGCCUACAAUUUCCAAUGCAACAAUGAUAUUUUUUGAUUUUUGAGUUUUUGUUUGUUUUUGGUUUUUUGAAAUUUGAAUUUCUACUCCAGAUCUGAAAAUUUGAGAGAGAGAGAGAGAGAGAGUUUUUUGAAGGAAUUAGAUGGCUGAAGACUUGCUAGAGAAGGCAAGUAACUUGCCUUUUAUAGGCACACAUGAAAGCCUCAAUCAGAUUUUCUGUUUUCUUUUUUAGUCCCUCUCAUUUUCCGUUUGAGUCCUUGAUUUCUUAACUUUUCACUCAAGUAACUACCUCUAUUAUGCUGAAACUUACACUAAAGUCCAAUUCUAGAAGGUCCUAUUGUGGUCUUCUACCUAUGCAAUACCUAUACUACCCUUAUUUUUGUUUAUAAAUUACUAUUCUUAACAAAACUACCUUUUUGCAUGCCUAAACUAACCCUGAAAAUUCCCUGAAAUUACUGACCAAUCAGACUCCUUUUACCUUUGUUAAUCUUCAACUAUGGUUAACUAAAAUGAUCUAACCUAUCCAGCAAUAAGCAAAGUAAUUCCCAAAAACUAUAAUAUUGAAUCCACUGAUACUAAUUGAAACUGAAAAUGAGUCAUCACUAGACUAAUUACACUAAGCAAUCAAAGAACAAAAACUAAUACUUGAGAUAACUAAUCAAGAGGUUAAAAUAAAUUGCAAUAAACAAUUACGAAUCAAUAAUCUAACACAGAAUCAGAAUGGAUUAAUAUGACGACUAAGAACAGUAUUUCCAAGAGAACCUUAGCGAAUAAACAAAACUUGAUUAAACCCUUAACAUGGCAUUCAAAAUAAAAUAGAACUAAACUAACUAACACCCCAAAUGCAUUCAAUUAGCAAGUUUAAAUAAAACUAAACUAGAAGCUAAACCUAUGACCAUAGAAGAAUGAAAUCAAAACUAGAGAAAACUUUAUUAAAUUCAGAUUAAAGCUUACUAACAACUAAGAUAAUAUCAAAAGAAAAGAGGGAAACAAACAGACGAACUCACUGAUGAAAAUUCCCAAACUGGUGAAUUCCUAGACUUGAAAUUAGUCCACUUCCGGUGAUACUUGAAUAUCAUUUCCGCUGAACUCUUCACGAAGAAGACGGGGGAUUAUCAUAAUGUCCAUUUAUCAAAGUUUUGGGAGAUUAGGAAUUUUGUCCGAAAAUUCGAUUUAAGAUUCGAGGUGCUUCAGGCAUAUUCCAAGAAAAAUAGUCAUGGAUUUGGAUAGGGGAAGGGGAGAAUGACCUAGGGUAUUAAUCUGGGCGAGUUUGGAUGAAAUUGCGUCGUGGACGGAAAAACUUCGAUGUGAUAUUCCAAGAUUUCGGCCAAGAUUUGAAGGAAAUGGAUGAUGGAUUAAAGGAUAGGAAGAGAAGAGGAGUAUAGGGUGUUAAUUUGGUGGCAUUCGUAGGUGGACCACCGUCGUGGGCGAAUUCCGGCAGCGGCAAGCGGUGGUGUUUCACAGAGGCUAAGUACGAGGAAGAUGAAGACUGUCUUAGGGUUUUUUUCUGAAAUUCAGACAGUUUAAAUUAAAUGAGGGAGAGAAUAGGGGCCCUUGGAUUAGGUAAAAAU